CAGAACUUGAAUCAUCAAACAUGCAUGUAGUAACAAUCACAGGAAUUCUCAGGAGCAAUACAUGGAGGCAACUCGACGAGGAAGGAGAUGCCGCAAAGUGUAGCCGAUCAUUGGCGAGAGAAAGCAGAAGUUAUCGAUACGUGUAUGGUUUCAAAGAUGUCAAUAUCGAUACCAAAGGAGUCCUUUCCGUCAGCAAAUAUAUACUAGUCAACUCUUGCUAGGUCUCAAAGCAAAUUUCUCUCGCUGAACUCGAUAAUGAUUUAGAGAACGAAAAUAAGAAAAGCAAAAAAUAAAAAAUUAUCAAAACACACAACACCGUCUUACCACGGCGAGGGAUGACUAUGGAGGACAGAAACCACAAUCUGUUCCUGGACAAGAAAAACAAGAACAAAACUUUAAAAAAAAUCAAGAAAAACUAAGAAAAGCGAGAUUAGCAGAAACCCGAACCCUCCCUAAUAUGCCAACGAAGAGUCAAACUGCCAAAUUGCAAUUACCCUUCUCCUUUUCUCUAUGCACUCUUACCUUCUCUCUUUUUUACUUAUCAUUAUGCAUCUAAUUCUACUUGAGUCUAUCAGCGAGAAGUGUGUUCAUUCUUAUUUAGAAAAUCAAAUUCCCAUUGAUUAUGUACACGUGCUUUUGAAACUUUGACUUAUUUAAGCUACUCGGUAAUGUUACC
rnacentral:lncRNA from 1 species